AGCGAACGCUGGCGGCAUGCCUAACACAUGCAAGUCGAACGAGACCUUCGGGUCUAGUGGCGCACGGGUGCGUAACGCGUGGGAAUCUGCCCUUAGGUACGGAAUAACAGUGAGAAAUUACUGCUAAUACCGUAUGAUGUCUUCGGACCAAAGAUUUAUCGCCUAGGGAUGAGCCCGCGUAGGAUUAGCUAGUUGGUGGGGUAAAGGCCUACCAAGGCGACGAUCCUUAGCGGUCUGAGAGGAUGAUCAGCCACACUGGGACUGAGACACGGCCCAGACUCCUACGGGAGGCAGCAGUGGGGAAUUUUGGACAAUGGACGCAAGUCUGAUCCAGCCAUGCCGCGUGCGGGAAGAAGGCC
rnacentral:rRNA from 1 species